GUUAAAGGACCACUAUAGUGCCAGGAAUACAUACUUGUUUUCCUGGCACUAUAGUGCCCUGAGGGUGCCCCCACCCUCAGGGUCCCCCUCCAGGGGUGGAACUUACCUCUUUCUCCAGCGCCGGGCGGGGAGCUCCCCGCCUCCAAUCCUCCUCCUCGGCUGAAUGUGCAUGCGUGGCAAGAAUGUGCAUGCUUGCACAUUCAGUC